GAACAAGGGAAUGGCUAAAUACCAUAAACAUUUGCACCAUCAAAUUUCCCUAGUAAAUGAGCAAAGAUGACAAAAGUGAGGAAUAUUCAGUGUCACAGCAGCUGUGAAGAGAGAGUCACACCGAGGCACUGCUGAGGAAUGUGCACAUUGGUCUAAGUAUUCUGGAAAACAAUCUGAAAUAAUGAGCAUAUCUUGUUAGGCAGGAGAAAGAGAUGAAAUGGGAAAUUAAGUAACUGAUACACCAAAUUAUCCUUAAGAACUGUUCCCUGCUUGUGCUGAGAUCUGUGCCUUCACCCUCGGUUUGAGACUCUCCUCGGAACCUAAUUUCUCUCCCCGUCUGCGCCGAUCUCCCCCCUGGCCCCGGAACCAACCUUUUGGUGAGACUGCAGAUUUUCUUCGGCCG
rnacentral:lncRNA from 1 species